AACGCGAAGAACCUUACCCAGGCUUGACAUGCAGUGGAAUUUGGCAGAAAUGUCAAAGCCCUUCGGGGCCGGCUGCACAGGUGCUGCAUGGCUGUCGUCAGCUCGUGCCGUGAGGUGUUGGGUUAAGUCCCGCAACGAGCGCAACCCUUAUCAUUAGUUGCCAACACGUAAAGGUGGGAACUCUAAUGAGACUGCCUGGGUUAACCAGGAGGAAGGUGAGGAUGACGUCAAGUCCGCAUGGCCCUUAUGUCUGGGGCUACACACGUGCUACAAUGGUCGGUACAGAAGGCAGCGAAACUGCAAAGUGAAGCAAAUCCCCAAAACCGGCCCCAGUUCAGAUUGUAGUCUGCAACUCGACUACAUGAAGUUGGAAUUGCUAGUAAUGGCGAGUCAGCAACAUCGCCGUGAAUACGUUCCCGGGCCUUGUACACACCGGAGUGC
rnacentral:rRNA from 1 species